rfam:Lutzomyia longipalpis Contig31202, whole genome shotgun sequence.
CUUUUAACGCUUGGCUCUCCCAAAGUAUUUAAUAAAUUAAAAAAAUUUACACGAGUGAAGGGGGGAAAAUGUAGAUGUCCAAAGUGCCUCUAUUUAUUUAAAUAUCCCCAAAAUUAUCCCUAAAAUUCCAUUGCAAAGUUGUACCAAAAGCAUGUUGUGCAAAUUCUUCUUUUUCUCCCUUCCAUGGCGCCACACGCGGCACUCUACGUCACCACACACCCUUGGUGUGUGUGUGUGUAUGUGUGUGGAAAUUCAAUGCUUUCUUUUCACGCACCGUGUGCGUGAAUGCCUGCAUGAAUUUUCACGUGGGUACCAUCACGUGAAAGCUGAGAAAAUGUAGAUGUGAAAAGUGCCAUUAUUUUUCCAAAUCCACCCAAAAUUACCCUCAUAAUUUCAUUGCAAAGUUGACCCUUUUUUCGCGGCAUUUUUUCACCUCGAGUGACGUCGGAGUAUACUAUGACUGGCUUCUGGUAGCCAAAUGCCGAGUCCAACGGGCAAAUUAUUGGAAAACGCGCCGUGUGCGUGAAUGCCUGCAUGGAUUUUCACGUGGGUACCAUCGUUGGAAAGCUAAUAAAAUUUGGGUUUUAAUGCUUUUUUUAUUUUUUCAAAUUCCCCUACAAAAAGUAAUGAAAAUAUUGAUUUCUUUUUCAUUUACUCUUUUUUCGCCUAUGAAAAAAUUCUUUUAACGCUUAGCUCUCGCAAAGUAUUUAAUAAAUUAAAAAAAAAUUUCACGAGUGGAAAGGGGGGAAAAUGUAGAUGUCCAAAGUGCCUUUAUUUAUUUAAAUAUCCCCAAAAUUAUCCCCAAAAUUCCAUUGCAAAGUUGUACCAAAAGCAUGUUGUGCAAAUUCUUCUUUUUCUCCCUUCCAUGGCGCCUCACGCGGCACUCUACGUCACCACACACCACCCUUGGUGUGUGUGUGUGUGUGUGUGUGUGUUGUGUGUGGAAAUUCAAUGCUUUCUUUUCACGCACCGUGUGCGUGAAUAGAUGCAUGAAUUUUCACGUGGGUACCACCACGUGAAAGCUGAGAAAAAUGUAGAUGUGAAAAGUGCCAUUUAUUUUUCCAAAUCCCCCUAAAAUUACCCUCAUAAUUUCAUUGCAAAGUUGACCCUUUUUUCGCGGCAUUUUCCACAUCGAAUGACGUCGGAGUAUACUAUUACUGGCUUCUGGUAGCCAAAUGCCGAGUCCAACGCGCAAAUUAUUGGAAAACGCACCGUGUGCGUGAAUGCCUGCAUGGAUUUUCACGUGGGUACCAUCGUUGGAAAGCUAAUAAAAUUUGGGUUUUAAUGCUUUUUUAUUUUUCAAAUUCCCUACAAAAAGUAAUGAAAAUAUUGAUUUCUUUUUCAUUUACUCUUUUUUUCGCCUAUUGAAAAAAAUUCUUUUAACGCUUGGCUCUCCCCAAAGUAUUUAAUAAAAUUUAAAAAAAAUUCACGAGUGGAAAGGGGGAAAAAGUGUAGAUGUCCAAAGUGCCUCUAUUUAUUUAAAUAUCCCCAAAAUUAUCCCUAAAAUUCCAUUGCAAAGUUGUACCAAAAGCAUGUUGUGCAAAUUCUUCUUUUUCUCCCUUCCAUGGCGCCACACGCGGCACUCUACGUCACCACACACCACCCUUGGUGUGUGUGUGUGUGUGUAUGUGUGUGGAAAUUCAAUGCUUUCUUUUCACGCACCGUGUGCGUGAAUAGAUGCAUGAAUUUUCACGUGAGUACCACCAUGUGAAAGCUGAGAAAAUGUAGAUGUGAAAAGUGCCAUUAUUUUUCCAAAUCCCCCCAAAAUUACCCCCAUAAUUUCAUUGCAAAGUUGACCCUUUUUUCGCGGCAUUUUUUCACCUCGAGUGACGUCGGAGUCACUAUGACUCCCAUCUGGUGGUCAAUUAUCCUCGAAGUAAUAAUUUUUUAAACCAAAUCUUUUUGUAACGGCCGUACCGAUAAUGAUCCAAUUCAAUGUAGGUAAGCCAAUACGAAUUUAUUUAUUUAUUUAGUUAGUUAGUAAAGGGGGUGCCAUCAUUACUGAUGAUUCCCCUGGCCAAAACGAAUUGCUAGCGUGCAGUAAAAAUUUAGCUCUCGAGCAUGAUGAGUUAGAAGAGCAGGCGUUUAUUCUUGCGUCAGGCAUGUGUUCCACUUACCUUAAAAAUCUGUGGUAAGACAUUCUCGAUAAUUCUUUCCAAUAUCAGCAGCAGGUAUUGGGGACUACGGGACUCAACUACUCAAACUUUAAAUGGGUAAGACCUCGACUUUCUUGAUUGAAGUCUUUCGAGGUUUAGAUAAAAGUUGUACUUAGUGGGCCACUUUUGGUAAGCAGAACUGGCGCUGUGGGAUGAACCAAACGCAGUGUUACGGCGCCAAAAUGUUAAUACGACUCAUAUCAGAUACCAUAAAAGGUGUUGGUUGUUUAAGACAGCAGGACGGUGGACAUGGAAGUUGUAAACCGCUAAGGAGUGUGUAACAACUCACCUGCCGAAACAACUAGCCCUUAAAAUGGAUGGCGCUUAAGUCGUCUGCCUAUACACUGCCGUUACAAUAUUUGUUACACAUAAUUUUUUUUGUGUGUAAUGUGAAAUUGUAAUGAGUAGGAGGGUACAAUGAUGUGCGUUGAAGUGUUAGACGUAAGUCUACAUGGAGCCGUCAUUGGCACAGAUCUUGGUGGUAGUAGCAAAUAAUCGAAUGAGAUCUUGGAUGACUGAAGUGGAGAAGGGUUCCGUGUGAACAGUGGUUGAUCACGGGUUAGUCGGUCCUAAGCUCUAAGCGAAAGCUUAUGUCAUAUAUAAAAGUCAUAUUUAGUUGACUUUAUAUUGAGCGAAAGGGAAUACGGUUCCAAUUCCGUACCUAUUGAGUAUACGUUUAUUGUGGGUCCUAUUUUUUCGGAAAUAGGUUUAAAGCUCAUCCUGGUAACAGAAGCUACCAUAGAGAAGCCGUCGAAGCAUACCGAAAGAGUUAUCUCUUCUGUUUCAUAACUGUAUUACCAUGGAAGUCUUUUGAAGAGAGAUAUGGUAAAUAAGUUAGAAGAGCAUGGCGUUUAUUGCUGUGUCGGGUAUGUGUUCCACGGACCUUGAAAAUCUAUGGUAGGGCCACGUAAAUAUUCUCAAUAGUCCGUACCGAAUAUCCGCAGCAGGUCUCCAAGAUUAAGAGUCUCUAGUCGAUAGAAUAAUGUAGGUAAGGGAAGUCGGCAAAUUAGAUCCGUAACUUCGGGAUAAGGAUUGGCUCUGAAGAUUGAGAUGUGUCGGGCUUGUUUGGGAAGUGUUGCUAACUGUACUGCUAAAGUAUCUGAUUAAUUAUCUUUACGGGUAGUGAAAGGAUAUGAUUACGCGAUACUGUAAUACGGAACUCUCAAGCUAUGCUGUAUACAUAACAUGGGAAUAUAGGAUUCACGUUUUAUAUUCUCGUAUGCAGUUUUCAACGACCAUCAACAAACAAUCAAUUCAGAACUGGCACGGACAAGGGGAAUCCGACUGUCUAAUUAAACAAAGCAUUGUGAUGGCUCUCACGGGUGUUGACACAAUGUGAUUUCUGCCCAGUGCCCUGAAUGUCAAUGUGAAGAAAUUCAAGAAAGCGCGGGUAAACGGCGGGGGUAUACGUAUGACUGGCUUCUGGUAGCCAAAUGCCGAGUCCAACGCACAAAUUAUUGGAAAAUCGUGAAAACACGUCGUGUGCGUGAAUGCCUGCAUGGAUUUUCACGUGGGUACCACCACGUGAAAGCUAAUAAAAUUUGGGUUUUAAUGC